rnacentral:sRNA from 1 species
UAGCAACUUUUUGUGGAGUGCAAAACGAAUGCCUUGGAGGUUCUCACAUUUCCUGUUGCCACUCCCGCUCGCGCUGCCACGCCGACUCAUUCCACCGUAGUGACGUUUCCAGAAACCCCUUUUCUGGCUCGCGGGCGGGCCGUGCCAAUUACUAAAUUGUUGUUGGCCUUGGUCCUGCGCCGUAUCCCCUCUCACCGAAGGGCUUGUCUGGGAACGUCUUCUUCCCAUUGGUCCUCCAGCAUUCUCUUUGCCAACAUCAUUUUCCCCCAUUCUACCUGUACCCUGUACAAUUGAUGGUCUACCCUGAUCAACAGGGGUUAUGUAUGUGGUAAUUGGAAUACCAGCAGUAGUAUCGUGAGACCCUUGUUCCACAGCAUCAGACCACUUUAGAUCAUCGCUUUCUCUGGCUGCUGGAUUUGCGGAGAUGGUGUUUGCCGUAUUGUCACUGAUUUUUGCCAAGGUGAUGGCAACCGAUUCCACUGCUUCAUUAAAUUCUCCGGCUCUCUGGGUGACGUGAUUGGUGAUACUUUCUUCGUACGAUGCAAGGCUCCUAAUGCCUGCCUCACUUUCCAGUUGCUGCGGCUUUCCCCAAAAAGCUUUCAGAUGAUUAUUGGUGUCUUCGAGCUUCUUACUGAUUCUUAUCUGUUCGAUUUUAAUGGCAGCAACGUCCUCGGCGAGGGCCUUGAGUUGCGAAAGGAUUUCAUUUUGAGCAGUUCCUUCGACUCGUAAGUCCUGUGGAAUUGUUUUGGGAGAAUCAACUCCGGGCGCCGACUGUUCCACCACGUUGGAGUCUUUUCCAGAAGAAGUUUCUAGCUCCAUGUAGUGGUCGUGAUGCGAGUGAAUGGAAGGCUGGACAAAAAACGGCGGCCCCUGACCACGUGAUUUAUUACCUCUUGCUGAGCUACUGCUGGAGAUUUUCACACCGCUGGAUAUGCUUGUGCUUCUGCCAUCGGGGACGAAAGAACUAUAGGAGCUAACCUCUCGAGAUUGUGGGCGUUCUCUAAAUUCCACUGGCGUCGGUGGGCGGAGGGGGAGCUGGGACAAGGAGGCGUGAACGUUUUGGCCCGGCAACAAGACCUCAGUGUUGUUCUCGCUUGAAGUUCGCCUUGGAGUCACAGUGCUGCUACUCCCGCACACAAGCUCAACAUCCGCCAUUUCGACUGAGCCCUGAGCACUUGGAAUUCUCCUCUCUGGUAAGACCAGUUUGCCGCUGCCUCUCGUGCCGCAUGUCCCUUUGUUGGUUAGGCUUAAAUCAGGGGAUCCAAGAAUAAUUCCCUCCAACUUAGGUAAAGCCUGGCAGUAAUCUUCUUGAGGUGUCUCUGCUGACCCUACGCUUGACUCAGGAGUGAAAUUCGGCUGAGCGGCACUCCGAUUUCCACCAUACUCCUCACCUUGAAGCCUAGGCGUGGAGCUUACCUUCCUCACUGCUCGAGAGGGUUCUCCUAGCACCUCAGAGAAGGAGUCCCAUCUUGACAGAAGCGGCGCUGAAUCCGGUUCUCUGUCAGUGCCUUUCUUCUCCUUGGGGUAAUAUAUUUUGGGCUCUUCGGGCCCUUCAAAGAUGUUGCUAGUUGUCGUAACAGUUGCUGGGUUAGUUGCUGGGGGUGGUGCGGACUCGCUGUUUCCACGGCUUCUGGGAGGCGAGUAAGUCAGGGGCUGGAGCAACUCAGCCAUUGUUUCGCGUUCUGGGGCAGCAAGAUCUUCUCCUUGUGCCGCUUUCUGUCCCUGGUUAAACCUCAACAUGGAAACAUUCUUAGAUUUCGGACCCAUCGUUGGCCAGUUGGUGUUUUCCAGCUUUAUAUUGCAUGAUAAUUCAUGGUUAGCGCCGUUGUACACUACCGGUGGUUUUCCAUCGACAUUCAAACAUAUAACAGAAAAAGAAGCAUAGACUUGCAAACUUCCCUAUCCACGCGGCAAUAAUAUGGGGAUAUAGGGUAAAAUGCAAGGGGUUGAAAGGGGGUGUUGGAAGAGAUAAGCCAAUUAGAUGUAGGAAAUGCAAAUAGCGAGUCAAGACAAAGGGAUCAGAGCCCUGACAGUUCAUGGAAACGUUGCCUCCAGUUUCCAAUCAGGGAACUUGGGCAUUGCCAAAGCCGAUGUCUCCUUUUCAUAUUUGACGGUUGGUUGAUCCGUGGGGCCAUGUAUAGAUUUGGGCAAAAAUUGCAAAGCAGAAACAGGGUCAGGAGAAAGCAGAUCUCAGGAGAAAGCAAAAGCUAGUAACUUACUUGCGAGAGGAAAUGUCUUGACUAUUAACAGACUUUGAUAGUCCUCAUGUUCAAGAUGCUGUUCUCAACUCGUGCUAAUGAUCCUAGAUGCUAGCAGACAGAAUUCUCAUAAGAAUGAUGAUAAUAUUGCAUGGUAUGAAGAUGUUUGUGCGAAAGGAAGUUCAGGGACAAAAGGGAUGAGAAAAGUAGGCUGUUGAACAAUAACACUCCUAGCGCUAUUUAAGCGAGGUGUUUUUGUUCAUUCAGUGGACUGGGGUAUAUCUUCAGAGCUUCUUUACUCUACUUGUAUAUCUCUUUCGGGAUGUGCUCUUUGUUUGGCUCUGCUUCUUGUAUAGGGGCUCUUUGUGUUGUUUGUGGCUUGCGAGUGUGCACAUGUGCAUGAGGAGUAGAAGUGAUAAUGAUAUUGAUUGCACC